rnacentral:rRNA from 1 species
UACGAAGGGGGCUAGCGUUGCUCGGAAUUACUGGGCGUAAAGCGCGCGCAGGCGGUCUUCCAAGUCAGUGGUGAAAGCCCGGAGCUCAACUCCGGAACUGCCACUGAAACUGUUGGACUUGAGUACGAGAGAGGUGAGUGGAAUUCCCAGUGUAGAGGUGAAAUUCGUAGAUAUUGGGAAGAACACCGGUGGCGAAGGCGGCUCACUGGCUCGUAACUGACGCUCAGGCGCGACAGCGUGGGGAUCAAACAGG